UAAAUCUCUCGCGCAUGCUCACUUCACAUCAUCGCGUGACAUCAAGGCGGAAGUUUUUGGUCACGCUCAUGUCAUGCUGUAGAGACGUUGGUAAACUGAACUGGAAGUGCCUUGAAAGCGACAAAACGAAGCUAACUGAUUUUACCAGUGUUGCCUUGCCUGGCGUUCAGGCCACGCUUCAUGUGAUCUUUCUUUAGGUGGUGUUCUAUGCUGUGCUUCACAGUCUAGCAGGUAACUAACUUAGUAGGAGUAGGAGGUGACCACCAAAGCCUUUGUAGUUGAUAACAGAGGGGCAAUAACUGAACCGGUGGAACUGAGAAUAAUUCAAGAUGGCAAACUUGCGCACAAAGCAACAAAGUGUUGGGUGUUCUGAAAUCAAUAAUGAAUUUGCUCGAGUCACAACAGUCCUACUGGAAUUAAAGUUUCUAAACAUGAUUCUAGAUAAGUACUCAGACAGCUUGAUGAAGAUGUUUCACAGCAAAGGUGGAGUCCCUGGCCGAACCAUUCGAACCAUCAUGCAACCCAUUUCAGAGAACAUCAUUGACAUUGACGACGGAAUAAAUACACUGUGAGCACACGACUGUGAUGGGUUGGCAGCCAAAAAGGAUAUGGAUCAGACAGUAAUGGGGAUCUACAAUGUUUGCCAUGAAGGACAUGAACUAGACGAUGAGCCAGAGGACAUCAGGGUCAUCAUUGAAGGUGUUGAAACCAUCUGCUCUGUGAUGAGUGUGGCUGUGGCAACGGCUAUGUUGUUUGGAUUAAUGUACACAUUGAACCUUUCAUACCUUCGUGAACUCAAAACUUCAUUUGAGGUUAUACAGAAAGUGUUCUUCAACUUGCAUGGACAGAGGCUUUCGCCAAAGGUACAAGCCCUUAAAAACAAGAUGCUUGAGUAAGUUACCAGUAAUCUGUGAACCAUGUCAUUCAGCGUUCAUCUUUAUUUUUUUUAGUUUUUUCCCCAACAAGCUAUUAUGUGAUGUCAAACAAAAACUGGUAUAACAAAAAUUGUAAAAGAGCUGAAACGUUUUAUUUCCCAUGUGGACUGUCUUCAACGGUGGCCUACACAUUCUUUGAGUCCAUUGAUUUGACGCUUUGCAGUGGAACUGUAAGGCUGUUGUGACAAAAGGUCUUGAUAAUUGAUCUGCCCUGCCAUUAAGUCUUAUUUCUAUUUUUACCUUUUUGUGAGGAUUGUAUGGAUUUUGACAGUAAAAGAAAUGCAGCAGAACUAAAUGCAGUAGUGUUUGAGGCGUCAACAACACUUUAAUUAUUAAUACAGUUAUUAGUAAGUUUAAGUAUGCUGCUAAAAUGAAAAUGAUAACUGAUUUCUGGUCUGUGACUAUAAAAUAAACACCUUUUUUUUGAGAA